UAAGGAAUAUUGCUCAAUGGGAGAAAUCCUGAAGCAGCAACGCCGCGUGGAGGAUGAAGGGUCUAUGACUUGUAAACUCCUGUAAAGAAGGAAAAAAUUCCCAUUAGAUGGGAGAUGAUGGUACUUCUGGAGUAAGCCCCGGCUAACUACGUGCCAGCAGCCGCGGUAAUACGUAGGGGGCAAGCGUUGUCCGGAUUUACUGGGUGUAAAGGGUGCUCAGGCGGAUUUGUAAGUCAGAGGUGAAAUCUUACAGCUUAACUGUGAAACUGCCUUUGAUGCUGCAAGCCUAGAGUAUGGAAGAGAGUGAUGGAAUAUCUGGUGUAGCGGUGAAAUGCGUAGAUAUCAGAUAGAACACCAAUGGCGAAGGCAGUCACUUGGUCCAUUACUGACGCUAAAGCACGAAAGCGUGGGUAGCAAACA
rnacentral:rRNA from 1 species